GUAGUCAGAUUCGUAUUAAUACAUAUAUAUUGGGGUGCGUUGUAGUGGAACUUGAACUAAAUUCUACCCCAAUCCACUCCAAUACAUAUGGAUUGAGGUGAAUCCGACA
rnacentral:pre_miRNA from 1 species